CCUACGGGUGGCAGCAGUGAGGAAUAUUGGUCAAUGGACGAGAGUCUGAACCAGCCAAGUAGCGUGAAGGAUGACUGCCCUAUGGGUUGUAAACUUCUUUUAUCUGGGAAUAAAAUGUUCCACGUGUGGCAUUUUGUAUGUACCAUAUGAAUAACCAUCGGCUAACUCCGUGCCAGCAGCCGCGGUAAUACGGAGGAUCCGAGCGUUAUCCGGAUUUAUUGGGUUUAAAGGGAGCGUAGGUGGAUUGUUAAGUCAGUUGUGAAAGUUUGCGGCUCAACCGGAGAAUUGCAGUUGAAACUGGCAGUCUUGAGUACAGUAGAGGUAGGCGGAAUUCGUGGUGUAGCGGUGAAAUGCGUAGAUAUCACGAAGAACUCCGAUUGCGAAGGCAGCUCACUGGACUGCCACUGACAUUGAGGCUCGAAAGUGUGGGUAUCAAACAGGAUUAGAUACCCCUGUAGUC
rnacentral:rRNA from 1 species